rnacentral:lncRNA from 1 species
UCGACUAUUGUAUUUCUCAAUAGAGUUCUAUUGAAACAGAUUUUUGUUAUUCUUAGAACUCAAUCUCUUCUUCACUCCUCUUGAUGUCGAUCGUCAUCAUGGUAUCGGAGCUAAGGAAGUCAUCGACGUCGUCGGAUUCUGGGCAUGGAUCGAAUGCUGAGCGAAGGAGAAGGCACAAGCAUAUAUGGGGCGGGAGCAAGAAUGGGAGUUUCCCUAUCCAUCAAAUCUGAACAUAGGUAACUUUGUAUCGAUUAGUUUAUCUCCAAACAAUUUUCUUUACUGGAGGACUCAAAUGUUGAGUCUAAUUGAAGGCCAGGACUUGGUUGAGUUUAUUGAUGGCUCAAUCGAGGCUCCCCCCAAAUUGAUUAAUGUGCCUGAAAGGAAUACUGGAGUUCUUACAGAAACUCUUAACCCUAGAUUUAAAUAUUGGAGGAGGACAGACCGAUUGGUAAAAGGUUGGAUAACCAGUUGACUAUCUCCAUCUGCAUUGAGUCUAGUCACUGGACUAGACACUGCCAAAUUAACUUGGGAUGCAUUACAAAAUGCAUAUGCGCAGGACUCAGUUGAGAGAGAAUUGAUGUUAAGGACCAUACUUCAAAUGAUAAAAAAAGAAGCAUCAUUAACUAUUUAGGAAUAUAUUCAGAAAUUUAAAAAUGUUUUUGAUGAAUUGAUGCUAAUUGGAAAAAUAUAAUUAGGAGAUGUAGAAAAAACUCAUUGUGUGCUCAAUGGGUUAGGGGAAGAAUAUGGAGCUUUCAAAACAGUCAUGUUUAAACCUUCAGUACCCGCUUAUUUGUCAAUGAUCCCACAAUUGAUUAGUUUUGACAUGAGGAGUGUCUUAUCUACUGAAAAAGCAUCUACUGAAUUAUACUAUGUGGAUAGAAAAAAUGAAAAAUAUUUUGAUGAAAACAAAAAAAGAAGACAGUGAGUUUAAUUCAAAAGGAAAAGGGUUUAGGCAGCACAAUAGCAAUGACAAUUGGAGAAAUGGAAAAUCAGGAACCAAAAUAGUGUGUUAAAUCUGUAGAGGUACCACUACAAGAAAAUAGGGAAACAGCCACGGCCAAGUUCACUGGCUAACCUUCAUGCCAUGAGGCAAUUAUCUGUCCUAGCAGAUUUGAUCAUGCAGUAAAAGCACAUAACCUUCAUUAUGAGAUGCACAAUCUUCACAUUACGGAGAUAAACUGAAAAUAUCACAUGAAGGAGAUGCAUCUAUUAAAGUUAAUAAUAAUAAAAAAUUUAAUUUAAAAAAUGUUCAAGUAGUGCCUGAAAUUAAAAGAAAUGUGAUUUUUGUUAGUCAAUUAACUAAAGAUUUUCCAUAUAUUUUUGAAUUUGAUGAAAAAAACUUUGUGAUCAAGGAUCCUCUGAGGAAAACAAUAAUAGCCAAGGGCAAGAAGAAUGAGGAGGAUCUUUACAUACUAAAGCAACAAGGUGUGGAAUAUCAUUCAACGGAAACAAAAUUAGGAGAUAAUGAAAUUGUAUGGCAUCAUAGGUUAGGACAUCUGAAUAAACAAGCUAUUCAUCUAUUACAUAAUAAAAAACUUAUAAAUGUGACAGGUUGGUGUGAAAAAGUUAAUAAAUGUAAAGGAUGUGCAAUGGGUAAAAUGGCUAAACUGCCAUUUAAAAAAUCAGAAUCAUCUGCCCUAGAUAUUUUUGAUAAAAUACAUUGUGAUGUUUGGGGACCUGCCUCAAUUAUUUCUAAAUCUAAUCAUAAAUUCUAUGCAUGCUUAGUAGAUGAUAAAUCUAGAUUUACUUGGUUCAUGCCUUUAUAGAAAAAAUCUGAUUUUACUGACUUGUUUCUUUUAUUUGAAAAAUAUGUCUUAAGAGAAUAUUUCUUUUAAUAAAAAAAUUAAAAUCUUUCAAUGUAAUGGGGGAGGAAAAUACAAAAUCACUUCAAAAAUGAAGGGAUAAAAGUUCAGAUAUCAUGCCCCUCAACACCCCAACAAAAUGGGGUGGCAGAAAGAAGGCAUAGGACAAUUAGAGAACAUGGGUUAUCACUCAUCUUUCAUCACGUUUACUGGGUAGAAAGAAGGUAAAGUACCUCACGUUUACUGGGCAGAAGGUUUUGAAACAGCAGUAUACCUCAUGAACAGAUCACCAUCUGUCAUCUUAGGGAACAUCUCUCCAUUUGAGGUUCUUUACAACAAAGAGCCUAAUUAUCAGAACUUGAGAGGGUUCAGUUGCGUUGCUAUCCCUACAUCUAGGAUACAAAAAUAAACAAGUUUUCACCAAAAUCGUUACCUUGCAUCAUGAUUGGGUAUAGUGAAAAAUAUAAAGGGUACAGAUGCCUAGAUAACAAAACAGGAAAAAUCAUUCUAUCAAGACAUGUGGUAUUUGAUGAGCUCAAAUUUCCUUUUAAUAAGGAAAACACAACUAGUUCAUCAGAUAAAUCUAGCAAAAUUACAGUUUUUUCAGAAUGGGAUAGAACAAGAAUUAAAGGUAGUAAGAUACUAAAUCUUUACAAUCCUGAGCCCAUGAUUGAAAAAGGGAAUGAUAUGUCUGAAAUAACAAGUGAGGGAAAUAAACCCUUAAUUGGCCAAAGACUUAAUCAAGAAACUCAGAUCUUGGUUGAUCAAAAAGUUCAGAUCUCCACAACUGAUCAGGAAACUCAGAACUUAUCUGAUCAGAGUAUAAAUGAAAAUUUUGUUCAUAACACACCUGCUAAAAACAAUGAUCCUAUUCAAACAAAGACUAUGAUGACAAGAUCCAUGGCUGAAAUUAAAAAGCCAAAUCCAAAAUACUUCUGUUUAACUCAAGUGAAACAGAGUGAACCUAAAAAUGUGAGUGAAACGCUUCAAAGCAUAGAAUGGAAAAAUGCCAUGAGUGAAGAGCUUAAUGCGCUAAAAUCUCAAGGAACAUAUGAAUUAGUACCAAAGGAAGAUUUCAUGAGAAUAUUAAAAACAAAAUGGAUAUGGGAAACCAAAUUAAAAGCUGAUGGAACAAUUGAAUGAUUAAAAGCCAGAUAUGUGGCAAAAGGUUACAAUCAAAUUGCUGGAGAAGAUUUCUCUGAAACUUUUUCUCCAGUAGUUAGAAACUGCACGAUUAGACUGGUCUUAACUCUAGUAGGGCAAAGGACAUGGGAUUUGAGGCAAUUAGAUAUAAAAAAUGCUUUUUUACAUGGUGUUUUACAAGAAGAUAUUUUUGUUGAACAACCUCAGGGUUUAAAGAUACAAAAAAUCCAAAUCAUGUUUGGAAACUAAGAAAAGCACUGUAUGGACUAAAAUAAGCCCCUAGGACUUGGUUUGACACAUUAAGCAAAUUUCUAUUAUAUUGAAAUUUCACCUGCAGCACAGCUGAUCCCUCACUGUUUGCCUUUAAGAAUAACAUGGAUAUUCUAAUUCUUUUAGUAUAUGUCAAGCUUUUUCACGCGGCCAGGCGACCAGGCGAUGCCUGGGACCGCAUACCGCAUAUGCGACCAGGCGGUCGCAUAUGCGGCCCAAUAUGCGACAUUUUUAUUUUAUUUUUUAUAUAUAUUUUUUUCAAUAUACCCCCCUGUAUUUUCUAUAUUUUAAAUAAAUCCCUGAUAUUAUAAGUCAUAUAAAAAUCAUAAUUGAAAUAAUAUAGUGAUUAAUGAUACUUAAACUCUUAAAAUCUCAAAAACUUAAAGAAACUUUCAAAGUACAAGUGUAAUUCAAACACUUAGUUUCAAGUUCUAAGUUCUAACUAAGUUCUAAGUUCUAACUAUGUUCUAAAUAUUCAAGUUCUAAGUUCUAAGUUCUAAUUCAAACAUUUAGUAAGGUCCUUAAGUUGUAAAAAAAUAAUAUAAUUCAUUUAAUUAUUUCAAUUUUAAUAUUUUGUACUUGGGUAAAUGGAUCGGGUUUAGCCGGAUCCGACCCGGAUCCGGCUAAGCCCCAUAAUAUGCGACCCCCCAAAUAUGCGAUGGGGGGUUACCGCCUGGUUGCAGUAAUAUAUACUUCAGAUGGCAUUUAUUUAACACAAACUAAAUAUGCAAAGGAAAUAGUAACUAAAGCAAAAGUGGAAAAAUCAAGAUCAGUAAGACUUCCAAUGACAUCUCGUGAUAAAAUAUCAGAUAAUGAUGAAGCAUUUCCUGAUAUUACAUUGUAUUGCUCUUUGGUAGGAGCAUUACAAUAUCUAACUAUUACAAGACCUGAUCUGACCUAUGCAGUGAACUAUAUAUGUCAAUUCAUGCAUGCACCCACAAUUAGACACUAUAACAUGUUAAAAAGGAUCCUAAGAUAUGUAAAUGGAACAUGUAACAUGGGAAUGAAAAUACUAAACAACUCUCAGGAUAAACUAACUGCCUUCAGUAAUGCUAACUGGGCUGGAUGUCCAGAGACAAGAAGAUCAACAACUGGAAGUUGUAUCUUCUUUGGAACAACAUGUGUGUCAUGGGGGACUAGUAAACAAAAAACUGUCUCUAAAUCAAGCAUAGAGGCUGAAUAUAAAGCUAUGUCAUCAACUGCUGCGGAACUAGCCUAGAUAAGUUUCAUUUUAAGAGAUUUGGGGGUAAGGUUGAAAGAAUCACCACACAUGUUCUGUGAUAACAUGAGCACUCUACAUCUCACAAUUAACCCGAAAUUUCACAAAAAAUCCAAACACUUUGAGUUGGACUUUCACUCUGUGAGAGAAAAGGUUGCUCAAAGACAACUGGUUACAAGAUUUAUCAAGAGUGAAUCUGAUCUAUUCACCAAGCCCGUAAACAAGACCACAUUAGAAAAACUAAGAUUGAAAAUAGGUCUCAUAGAUUUAUCAACUAUAAAAUAAAGAUAACUUUAAUAUAUAUAUACAUAUAUAAAGCUAAAAUUAGACAAUGCAUUUUUUUAAAUCUAUAUUAAAUAUGUGUAUCAUGGAUUGUUUUGUUUGUAUGAAAAUGAAAUAAGGACAAUAUUUAGUUGUUCGGGUUUCUUUCCGUGAUAAUAUCUUGGCCAGAAGUGUGUGUUUGUAUUCUACUGCAGGAACAGGUAACAACUAAUCUGAGACUAAGAGAGGGAAUGCUGAAGAUUGAGUCUGGAAAUCUUAGAAAAUAGAUAUCACCCAAAAGAUCAGGAUCAGAAGCAACAAAAUAAAAGGAGAAGGAAAAGAAAGGAUGUUGAAGAAGGAGAAUGGCAGUGCACACAAUCAAAGCUACUAAUGGAAGUCCGGAACAUAGCAUAAGAAAGAAAAAGAAAACAAUACAACAACAUGAAAUGAUUGAAAACACGAGUUGAUAAGUGGUCAGCUGAAGAGUGGGUUUUUCCCAGAAUUGAUGAAAAGAUGGCAAAGCCACGUUGGGUUUUUUUAUCUGUUUUUCUCCAUACUACACUUAGAAAACUACAACUACAAGCAGAACAAGUGUUCAAACAAAUUACAACAAUCAAAAAAUAAACCAAUCUACAUACAAAGUCAACAGAUUGGUUUAAGAGGGAAUGUAAAUAUAUAAGGGUAUAUGUGUAAUUAUAUUAUUAUAUAGAUUAUAUGAUGCAAUAUACUAAGUGUAUAUAUAAGAUAGUUGAAAUGAAUUUAGAGAUUAUCGACUAUUGUAUUUCUCAAUAGAGUUCUAUUGAAAUAGAUUCUUGUUAUUCUUAAAACUCAA